rnacentral:rRNA from 1 species
UACGUAGGGUGCGAGCGUUAAUCGGAAUUACUGGGCGUAAAGCGUGCGCAGGCGGCUUUGCAAGACAGGCGUGAAAUCCCCGGGCUUAACCUGGGAACUGCGCUUGUGACUACAAGGCUAGAGUGUAGCAGAGGGGGGUAGAAUUCCACGUGUAGCAGUGAAAUGCGUAGAGAUGUGGAGGAAUACCGAUGGCGAAGGCAGCCCCCUGGGCUAACACUGACGCUCAUGCACGAAAGCGUGGGGAGCAAACAGG